rnacentral:rRNA from 1 species
AUUGAACGCUGGCGGCAGGCCUAACACAUGCAAGUCGAACGAGUGGCGGACGGGUGAGUAAUGUCUGGGAAACUGCCUGAUGGAGGGGGAUAACUACUGGAAACGGUAGCUAAUACUGCAUACCAUGGGAUGUGCCGAGAUGGGAUUAGCUAGUGGGUGGGGUAACGGCCCACCUAGGCGACGAUCCCUAGCUGGUCGGAGAGGAUGGCCAGCCACCCUAGAUCGGAGACACGGUCCGGACUCCUACGGGAGGCAAGGGUGGGGAAUAUUGCACAAUGGGCGCAAGCCUGAUGCGGCCAUGCCGCGUGUAUGAAGGAGGCAUUCGGCUUGUAGAGUACUUUCAGCGGGGAGGCGUUACCCGAAGAAGAAGCACCGGCUAACUCCGUGCCAGCAGCCGCGGUAAUUC